rnacentral:rRNA from 1 species
UAGUCCACGCCGUAAACGAUGGAUACUAGCUGUCCGAGGCCUUGAGUCUUGGGCGGCCAAGCGAAAGUGAUAAGUAUCCCACCUGGGGAGUACGUUCGCAAGAAUGAAACUCAAAGGAAUUGACGGGGGCCCGCACAAGCGGUGGAGCAUGUGGUUUAAUUCGAUGAUACGCGAGGAACCUUACCAGGGCUUAAAUGUAGAUUGACAGGACUAGAGAUAGUUUUUCCUUCGGGCAAUUUACAAGGUGCUGCAUGGUUGUCGUCAGCUCGUGCCGUGAGGUGUCAGGUUAAGUCCUAUAACGAGCGCAACCCCUGCCGUUAGUUGCCAGCAUGUUAAGAUGGGGACUCUAGCGGGACUGCCGGUGCAAACCGUGAGGAAGGUGGGGACGACGUCAAAUCAUCACGGCCCUUACGUCCUGGGGCCACACACGUGCUACAAUGGCCGGUACAGAGGGAAGCCACCACGUAAGUGGGACG